rnacentral:rRNA from 1 species
AUUGAACGCUGGAGGCGUGCUUAACACAUGCAAGUCGAACGAUGAAAUGGAGCUUGCUCCAUGGAUUAGUGGCGAACGGGUGAGUAACACGUGAAUAACCUGCCCUUAAUUUUGGAACAACCCAGGGAAACCUGGGCUAAUACCGUAUAAGUAAACCUGUGGCAUCACAUGGUUUUGGAAAGUCUUUCGAUUAAGGAUGGAUUCGCGGCCUAUCAGCUCGUUGGUGAGGUAAUGGCUCACCAAGGCGACGACGGGUAGCCGGCCUGAGAGGGUGAACGGCCACACUGGGACUGAGACACGGCCCAGACUCCUACGGGAGGCAGCAGUGGGGAAUAUUGCGCAAUGGACGAAAGUCUGACGCAGCGACGCCUCGUGAGGGACGAAGGUCUUCGGAUUGUAAACCUCUUUCAGCAGGGACGAAGCGAGAGUGACGGUACCUGCAGAAGAAGCACCGGCUAACUAUGUGCCAGCCGCCGCCGUAA